rnacentral:rRNA from 1 species
UACGUAGGGGGCGAGCGUUGUCCGGAAUCAUUGGGCGUAAAGAGCUCGUAGGCGGCUUAGCAAGUCGGGUGUAAAACCUCCAGGCUUAACCUGGAGAGGCCACCCGAUACUGCUAUGGCUAGAGUCCGGUAGGGGACCACGGAAUUCCUGGUGUAGCGGUGAAAUGCGCAGAUAUCAGGAGGAACACCGGUGGCGAAGGCGGUGGUCUGGGCCGGUACUGACGCUGAGGAGCGAAAGCGUGGGGAGCGAACAGG